GAUGAACGCUGGCGGCGUGCCUAAUACAUGCAAGUCGAGCGAACAGACGAGGAGCUUGCUCCUUUGACGUUAGCGGCGGACGGGUGAGUAACACGUAGGUAACCUACCUAUAAGACUGGGAUAACUUCGGGAAACCGGAGCUAAUACCGGAUAAUAUUUCGAACCGCAUGGUUCGAUAGUGAAAGAUGGCUUUGCUAUCACUUAUAGAUGGACCUGCGCCGUAUUAGCUAGUUGGUAAGGUAACGGCUUACCAAGGCAACGAUACGUAGCCGACCUGAGAGGGUGAUCGGCCACACUGGAACGGAGCCACGGUCCAGACUCCUACGGGAGGCAGCAGUAGGGAAUCUUCCGCAGUGGGCGAAAGCCUGACGGAGCAACGCCGCGUGAGUGAUGAAGGUCUUCGGAUCGUAAAACUCUGUUAUUAGGGAAGAACAAACGUGUAAGUAACUGUGCACGUCUUGACGGUACCUAAUCAGAAAGCCACGGCUAACUACGUG
rnacentral:rRNA from 1 species